rnacentral:rRNA from 1 species
GACGAACGCUGGCGGCGUGCUUAACACAUGCAAGUCGACCGAUGAAGAAAAGAAUCGAAGCUUCGGCAGAAAUUCAUUUCGGAUUAGUGGCAGACGGGUGAUUACCGCGUGAUAAACUUACCUCUUACAAAGGGAUAGCCCCGGGAACCCGGGUUUAAUCCCAUAUAACAUUCCGACUAAUUAUUUCGAUGCAAUCAAAGCUACGGCGGUAAGAGAUGGGCUCGCGUCCCAUUAACCGGAUGGUGAGGUAACGGCUCACCAUAGUGACGAUGGGUAACCGGACUGAGAGGGUGAACGGUCACACUGGAACUGAGACACGGUCCAGACUCCUACGGGAGGCAGCAGUGGGGAAUAUUGCACAAUGGAGGGAACUCUGAUGCAGCGACGCCGCGUGAGUGAUGAAGGAAUUCGUUUCGUAAAACUCUGUUCUAUGGGAAGAAAAGGACUGUACCAUAGGAGAAAGCUCCGGCUAAAUACGUG